rnacentral:lncRNA from 1 species
CAAGCAUGAUAACAAAUGGUUACGAACAAACCAGGAAAAGGCAAAAGCAUUUGCAAACUAUUUCGAAGAAGUAUUUCAGCCUUUACCUGCAGAUGAGAAUAACAUCGAUGAAAGAAUACAUGAAUUUUUAGGUAGUAUAUAUCAAAUGUCUCCACCUCCCAAACUAACAACACCCAAAGAAGUAGCACAAAUUAUUAAAUACGAAAUUCGUACCAAAAAA